rnacentral:rRNA from 1 species
UACGGAGGGUGCGAGCGUUGUCCGGAAUCACUGGGCGUAAAGGGCGCGUAGGCGGCCUGGCAAGUCGGUGGUGAAAGCCCGUGGCUCAACUACGGGUCGGCCACCGAUACUGCUAUGGCUCGAGUUUGGUAGAGGCAGAUGGAAUUCCGGGUGUAGCGGUGGAAUGCGUAGAGAUCCGGAAGAACACCAACGGCGAAAGCACUCUGCUGGGCCGACACUGACACUGAGAGACGAAAGCUAGGGGAGCGAAUGGG